rnacentral:rRNA from 1 species
GAUGAACGCUGGCGGCGUGCCUAAUACAUGCAAGUCGAGCGAACAGAUGAGGAGCUUGCUCCUCUGACGUUAGCGGCGGACGGGUGAGUAACACGUGGAUAACCUACCUAUAAGACUGGGAUAACUUCGGGAAACCGGAGCUAAUACCGGAUAAUAUAUUGAACCGCAUGGUUCAAUAGUGAAAGACGGCUUUGCUGUCACUUAUAGAUGGAUCCGCGCCGCAUUAGCUAGUUGGUAAGGUAACGGCUUACCAAGGCGACGAUGCGUAGCCGACCUGAGAGGGUGAUCGGCCACACUGGAACUGAGACACGGUCCAGACUCCUACGGGAGGCAGCAGUGGGGAAUCUGGCGCAAUGGGCGAAAGCCUGAUGGAGCAAUGCCGCGUGAGUGAAGAAGGUCUUCGGAUCGUAAAACUCUUUUAUUAGGAAAGAAAAAAAGCGUAAGUAACUAUGCACGUCUUGACGGUACCUAAACAGAAAGCCACGGCUAACUACGUG